ACGAGAGCGCAGUCUAUGUACAGCAGCUAUUUUACAGAUAUGAGUGAUUACAUGCUGUAACUGUAUGAGGGAUUCUGUCUUCCUUUUAAGAAUUUAAAUAUUCCUAUGUGUAAACUUUUGGACGAGCAGCGUAUAAGUAGAGUGUAGGCUGAACUUGGGCAAAGCAGAGAGGAGUUGAUUUGUAUGGUGCUGUUUUUUUAAGAUGUACGCGUUUUUUUUGUGUUUGUACGCACAUUUUAAGAUGUACGCUUUUUUUGUGUUUGUACGCACAUUUUAAGAUGUACGCGUUUUUUUUGUGUUUGUACGCACAUUUUAAGAUGUACGCGUUUUUUUGAGUUUGUACGCACAUUUUAAGAUGUACGCUUUUUUUGUGUUUGUACGCACAUUUUAAGAUGUACGUGUUUUUUUUGUGUUUGUACGCACAUUUUAAGAUGUACGCGUUUUUUUGAGUUUGUACACAAAUUUUAAGAUGUAAGCCUUUUUUGUGUUUGUACACAGAUUUUAAGAUGCAGGCGUUUUUUUAAAUUGCAGAAUGGUUGAUGACCUUCAUCGGCUUAUCAAGGAAGCCAAACUUCUAAAACCUUUCAUUAUAGUGGGCUGUGAGCUGGGGGCCCUCAUUGGGAGGUUUUAUAGUCAUAUACAUGACUGAAUCACCUGGCACCAGAGCCGAUGGAGAAGCCCCGCUGUCACCAGAGCCAGAAGGAGAAGCUCCGCUGUCUCCAGAGCUGAAGGAGAAGCUCCGCUGUCUCCAGAGCUGAAGGAGAAGCCCAGCUGUCUCCAGAGUCAGAGCCGAAGGAGAAGCCCCGCUGUCUCCAGAGCCGAAGGAGAAGACCUGCUGUCCCCAGAGCCAGAGCCGAAGGAGAAGCCCCGCUGUCCCCAGAGCCAGAGCCGAAGGAGAAGCCCCGCUGUCUCCAGAGCUGAAAGAGAAGCGCCGCUGUCUCCAGAGCCGAAGGAGAAGCCCCGCGGUCUCCAGAGCCGAAGGAGAAGCCCCGCGGUCUCCAGAGCCGAAGGAGAAGCCCCGCGGUCUCCA